UAGCAGUACCUGCAUGUGCCGUGGAAGUUACUAGCUCAACCGUGCUGUUUCCUGUUUGCCCAAGUGUUUCACAGUUAUUUUGUUACACAACCAAUUUCCCUUUUGUUGCAGUUAUGUUUAGCUGGAUAACCCAGGAUUUUGAGCUGUAUGCCGCCUUCAGUCCACUGGCUGACAAGGUUGGCAUCUAUCUGCCUACAUACAGUUCAGCGAUGCGAUUAAUGCAUCAUCUAUAGUAAUACUGUCCUGGUGUAUCUAAUCUUACUUUGAGUACACGCAUUUUGCUUGCAGACCCAAGCGAUUAAGGUAUGCAACAGAGUAUGCCAGUGGAUCAGGGAUCUACAAGACACACUGUUCAUACAUGGAGAAAGCACCAUUGCCUGGUGAUAUAUUGUCUUGUAUGUAAACUCGUGUACUUUUUUUUUUUGUUUCUUUCGUCGAAAUCUUUCAUGAUUCAUGUGCUUGCCAUACUGACACAGGCAAUACCAUCACUGUUGGGGAGAUGUAUGAGGUUUGUCUCUCUCUUUAACACCAUUACAAAUGUAAAUGUGGCCCUUUUUUUUAUUUCAUGGUCAUUGUUCAGGACAAAUUAAGGCCAAUAAUUGGUUUUUAUUUGUAUCUUGUCGAUGCUGCGAUCCAUCAGGCGCCAUUUCUUAUUUAUAUGUAUGCUUGGUCUGUAACCUUCUAAUUCCCCAUGGAAUCCAAAUUAAUACAUCAUAUAUAUAAGUUUGGAGAACCUUAUUUUUUCCCUGUAUGUUUAAUAAAUUCAGGAAAGUUAUGUCUAAAAACAUUACAAAAAAAUUCAUGAUGUAAUUUGGAUCUAGACAAAUGUAAGACAAGUAAUUUGGGACGGAGAUAAUAUUUAAUAUUGUAACUGGAAUUGGGCAUACUUUGAGGAAUUACUUCCCUGUGUUGGUCUAUACAUACAUGUCAAAGUACACAUCACAGUUGGAGGAUACGGCAAGGGUUAUUUUUAUCCAACAUGGUUGGCAGUGUGAUCCUCGUCACCAUAAGCGAUCUAUAAUCUCUUUAUGAUUACUACUUUUCGCAUUUUAUGUUUUUUUUCUUUUAUAAACCUGUUGCAGGUGUGUGCAUCUUACUUAUGCAGAGGUCCGGUGUAAUGCUAGAACCUAUUGAGUAAUGAAGCGCUCUAUGGAAAAAGCCUCAUGAAAACUUGCUGAGAAUUUGAAGUUAAAAUUAUGCAAAGUAAUAACGUGGGCAUGCAUGAGUGUCCAAUCUUAAUUGCAACCUGUUAAUAUACUUUUGCAUAGCACAACAGGUCAGUCCGUGUGCAAAACUUGAAUGUAAGAGCAACUCCAACAGGGCCACCCAUUUCGUCCGCUGGCGUCCGUUUGGGUCGGCGCGGACACAAAAGUCGGCCCAACGCGCCGACCAAAACGGACGCACGUCCGCUUGUCGUCCACCUGCCAACCCAUUUCCGGCCCAUUUUUGAGCCGGAUUUGCGUCGGCAUGGACACGAGGCGGACGCACGCGCGCACCUUCUCCUUCCCCCGGGCCCGCUGGUCGGUGGCAGCCUCCACCAUUUCCCUCCAUCCCUCCCAAAAACCCUCUCGCCCACACGCGCUCCCGUCCCACCCCCACCAUGGACGAUGACCUCGAUGCCGCCGCCGGCCUCGCCUCCCUCGCCUCGUCCGGCAUGCCGACCGCCCCUUCCGGCAAAGGCAAGCCUCGCGCCCCCUGCAGGUGUGCUGGCAUGACCACGGGGCCGCGAUGGUGUGGUCGAACUCAAGUCCCACCCUUUUUUUCUGUGCUGGCAUGUGUGCCAGCCGCUGGCGAGUGCGCCAACAUGAACUGUGGCGAUAUUUUUUGAAGCCGACAUUGUAUGCGCCGGCAUGAGACAUGGCCGCUGGCUUUUUUUAAAAAGAAAUUGAGAGCGAACAUGAAAUGGGUCGGUGCGUUGGACGCACUGCUGACCCAAAUCUAAAACAGGGCGGACGCCGGGUGGGCGGCUGACCCAAACAGACAAAAUACAGCCAAAAUCGCCGUCCAAACCGUUUGGGUCGACCCGUUGGAGUUGCUAUAAGAACACGCGUAAACCGGUUGCAGUUUUGGAGAUGCAUCUUUUAAUUAGACAGGUUCAAAGCACAAGAUAAGAUUCUAGUAGCACCCAACGCGGAUCGUGCACGCUAGAAACGUCUUGGGAGUUGGGAGGCAUCUUGAAGUGCAGAGGCAGGUGGUAUCAUCACGCACUUCAAAGUUGUACUGUUUUUUUUUUUGCGGGGAAAGUUGUACUGUUAAUUCGAGUAGUAACAUUUUUAGUUUAAGAAAAAAGGAGUAUCAUUUUUUGUGUGUGCGUGUAUUUCCUCCGUUUCUAGAUAUAAGUCCUUUUAGGGAUUUCAAUAUGAAUUAUAUAUGAAGCAAAAUGAGUGAAUCUACACUUUGAAAUACAUCCAUAUACAUCUGUAUGCAGUUGAAAUCUCUAAAAAGGUUUAUACUUAGAAACGGAGGAAGUACACGACAGACAUGUAAGCCUUAUUGUGUUAUGUAUAUAUAUGGACACGGGAGUUUUUUUAUGCCUUAACAACAUCUUUUAUUCAAUAACAAGUACAGAGCGACCCCACGUCCACGGAAACAAUCGUGAACGGCACUGAUCUCGAACAACAACAUCACACAACUAAAUUUUAAAAGAAGAACUAUAAUGAGAAGAUCGAUGCGCGACAUCAUGACUAACAGUACUUUCAAACAUGUACUUCAUCAGGGAACUGACUUCAGCGAAUCAUAAAGCACGAGUUAGAAAUGCAGUUGCAGUUAGGGUUCGUGCAUGGAGUCCACCUGCAUGAUUGCAUACAGUAGUACCGCUGCUGUUGCACACCCUCCUCAGUCACCAUGACGAUGGUCUCGUUUGAAACCCGCGGCAGGCGAGCCAUGGCCGUUGGAGCCACCGCGAGCUGCAAAAGCACCGUUGCAGCCACCAGGGCCACCACGCCGACGGCCUUGUUUCCAAUCUUCAUACUGCGAGCUUGACUAGCGAGUUGUGAUUUGGUAGGUUUGUUCGUGUUUGAUCUGCUCAGCUCGUACGCGUUCUCGGCCCUUUUAUAGGCAGCAGCGACGAGAUAAG
rnacentral:lncRNA from 1 species